UAUUGAAGCUUACUUCUUGUGGUGAUUGGUUAAUACGGAUGUUUCACCAUGUAUCUGGUAUAAACUGAUUAAAAUAUCUGAGGUGCUUACCGCCUCUGAAACUUCUGUGAAUUUCUACCGGACUACAUGAUGCAACACUCCAGAAGAUAGCAUACUUCUUUAUUUAUCUCCAUGAGAGCCUGAUAUCUAAUUUCGCUUCUUAUGGUUCAAAGUACGCUAUGUAAUGCUGUGUUAAAUAAACAAGGAUAUUCCACACUUCAUCAAAUAUCUUAGUAAUAGAAUGAUCAGUGAAAAAUGUAGUGACAUCAUUUCGCUGUUAAGUAAACAGUGAGGCACAGCAUCGUUAUUUUCUUAUAUUCUUGAGGUCUGAAGGUUUUACAACCCCAUCACAGUUGCAUGGCAUGUAUAAGAAACUGUGAACUGUGACUGCCUAUACACACUGCAACAAAACACUCUGGAGAGUAUAUGCAAUUUUGUACAUUAUACAGAGUGGCGCAGCAUUCUUUCAUUAUUCCCAAGAACUGAACUUGAGGCAGCUGGUCUCACGGUCUAUUGGUUUGCCUCCCCUACCUCCAUGGUACGCAGUGGGACAGCUUGACUUUAAUAACCUUCAUCGGGUCAAUAACGGAAUGUUGUGGAGAGAAAUUAAUAAAACUGCACUAUUACAACUGCUAUAAAAUGCCUUUAAAUAAAGGACAACUUCAGAGGUUUGCUAGUGUGAAGCAAGUCCAGAUGGAAUGUGCCUAACAAUGAGGAAUGCAGGUUUGUAGAAUUGUCACCACAUCCAUAAUUUGCUGCAGUUUUAUGACCAACGGCCACCUGUAUGUGCUAGACAACUAACAUCAAAUGGCUGUAAUGUCUUUCAGAUUUCACAGAUGCAGCACACAGCAGUGAUUCUGAAGGUGUGUCCAGAAUCGUCUGAAACACAGGGAAGAAAAGGAGAGACUUGAUAAAAAGGAGGGUGUUUUUAGGUUAAUGCACAGCCUUGAUUAUGUAAGAAUACAUUCCAUUUCGAUCGACGGCAGCGGUAAUAAGGAAGGCUCUACAACAGGUACACCAACUUAAAUGAACAUUAAAAUAAAACAACAUUUCGAUAUUAAAUAUGAUCAUGUCAUUCAAAACCGCAUAAAUGUUUAUUUUAUUGGAUGACUCCGCAUGAUGAGGUGUUAAGCACAACAGAAGAGGAGGGCAUGGAAGCUCCUCAUAAUGGCAGAUAUUGAACAAAACAGUAGGGCAGCUACAUGUACCUACCGCGAUAACAUCCUUUAAAUGUGCCACAAGGUUCCAGCCUGGAGAGAAUUGUGUUUGGCUUGAAGGAUAGCUGGAAUUCAAUUAAUGAUAAGUGCAAGAAUUUUUAUCAUCGACAACGUCCACACUGACUCUGCAGUACACCCAUUCUCCCAGUCAUUCCUAGAUUUCUUUUUCAAAGGGUAAAUCACCUGGAGCAUAAAGCUAAUCACUCACCUCCAUCCAGUGCUGAGAAAGGGUGGAUGGAGUGUUACAUCCCUUCUUCCAGACACCUUCAAACCAUGAUUCUUAUGCAAAGAGACAAUUUUACAUUCACCUUUAAGUGAGUGGAAUGGGUCAUCAAUGUCUCUUUAGGUACAAAGAAAAAUGUCAUUGUCCCAUCAUGUAUUGAAGUUUUGGACAAUACUGAUUAGAAUAUCUACUCUACUCUCUUCUUGUAUAGAGUUUUGAGCUUACAAAUUUGUUUCCAGAGCUCGCAUUGUACCAAAGGAAACAUGACAGUAGAAAAUGUUAUAUUAAGGUUAUAGAGGGACAGAAGAGUCUCAGAGUUUUAACUCUGUGUAUUAGAAUGCUGACUCUUUCCUCCUAUCUUUUAGAAAAAUCAUCAAUACAAAAACAACAAAAGGUUCACUGUUAGUCUGGAAUGUUUUCAGUAGGUUCCACUCAUGUCCCUCUGUACAUGUGACCAAAAAAGGCAUGUCAAAAUUUUGCUUUUUAAUUAUCUUCACAACUGGAGAAGAAAAAUAUUGAUUUCAAUGUUAAAGCACAUUUUCUCCACUUUUUCCUGGAAAUAGUGAUUUCUCAAAAUCAAUUUGUAGGCUCCAGUACUUUGAGUGGCUGAGUGGAUAUAUUAAUGUAUUUUAAAAGGAUGUAAUCUAUGAAGAUGCCUCAUGCAAAAUACCCUGACUGCAUAAAAGUGAAGAAGGGUAUAUUAUGUGAAAGUUUGUACAUGAAUUGGUACUGUAAAAAGAAAUAUAAAAUGAGGAAAAGUUAACUCUUUAUGACAUGAAGUAAUUGGCAAGUGCAUCACAAAGUAAUUGUGUAAUUCUGCUGAAAUAUAACAAUAGGAUGUUUUCUAGAUUAAUGCUUUGUUCAAUGGUUGUAGAUUGCUUCAUAUAAACACAUAAAAGUUACUUCUUAAUUGUAUGCAUCAAACAUGAUUGUGUUCUAUUCCUAAAACAAAGCCAGAAAGUUCCUAUAAACACACAGAUGCAAACUCUUCAUUAGUGAGAACUGGAAGCAUCAGUAAAUCAAAUGAGACAAGUAAAACACCUUAUUAGAAGCAGAUUCAUUUUUGUACUAAAAAUACCUGAACACCUCACACCCACGGUUCUGGAGUUCACAGGUACAGAUGAUGCAACUACAGGUUGCCGAGACCAGCUAAGGCCACAGCACAAUGGGAUCAAUAGCUAAGUGCAAGUUUUACUCUUGUGAAUAACAGCAUCUAGUGCAGUGUGACUUCAAAAUUCUUGCCAAAUACCUUUUCAUUUUUAAUUCUGAAUCUAGUUCGAACCAUUUGACUAUAUGUAUUAAUUCCCUGAUGCCACUGAUGAUGACCUCUUGAGGUUGAAACGCCUAUGGCAAUAGUGUCUAGUAUAGUGUUAAUAGUUGUUGGUUUUGUUUACUCUAUAUACCUGAACAGGAUUUUAAUGCUCGCUAAGUAUUCACAAAAGUUUCUGAAAAUGUUGUCUUUUACUUUGAAUGCACAACUGAGCUCUGUGGCACUGGUACACUGAAAAAUUUCUGUUGUGACAGCCACAGAAUCAAAUGCCAAAGCUAGUCCUUCAUGUUGACUUGUUCCAAGUAAAUUAUGCCCUUCAGAUGCCCCCAGAGGUAGUAGUUGGUAGAUGUAAAAUCAGGCCACAGAGGCUGCAAAGUCAAUUUGGUUCAUCUCAUCCAUCAAUAUGUGUGAUGAGAGUCCAAAAGCUGCUUUAAGUUGCAGGUAAAAUGAACAAGAGCUUCCCCAUUCGUAAACCACACAGUUUGUUACAUUGUCAAUGGCACAUAGAACAGUAUUUGAGGUAAUUCUAUUGAAAAUGUAAAUAAGACACAAUGAGAGUUGAAACACUAACUCAUAAGGUGAUAUGAGGACAUCACCUGUUAUUCCUGUCCAAAUAUUACUUUUGAACUGAUGUUUCAUCACUCCAGCCACUACCAAGGCAAUUGUGACCAUUUGAUUGUAAGAGCUUCAUCUUGGAUUGACUUUAGGAGUAGAACGCAAUCCUUAAAUGAAAUGCAUGCAAUUAAGAAUCAUCAGAACAUAUAUUAUUUUUUGCAGGAGGUGUCAGGCAAUUAAUCUGCAUUUAUUCUUCAUAUUUUUGUGUCAUGACAUGUAAUUAAUUUCAUCGCCUGAUGUAUGAAGGCAUCUGGACUACGCAAAACUUGGCAUCAAGACAAACUCUUUGUUGUCAGUAUGAAGAUGCACUUAAGGCUCUCAAGGAGGGAACAAUUGCAAAGGCCAUGUUAAAGUUGGAGAAGCAGCAACACAGAGUUAGAACUCUUAGCUGUAAGAGACUGUAAACUGUACUGGAAUUUCAUCAAAACUUUAUUCCUUCAAUUAUGAUAAAUAAACAGACACAACGCGGCAUUAUGACACCAUUUGCAACGUCCAUUCAUUAUUACCAUCAGAAAAUCAGUCAUAGAUUUUACUGCAUUUUAGUACCUCAUAACCAAAAAGUCUUCAGAUCUUUCUAGAGGGAACAAAGUGAAACACUUAUCAUUCUUAAAUCAAGUUCCUCCAUCCAGAGUCUCUGCUUCUGCCAUCUAGACCUUCCAAGAACUAUAAAACUGUAACACUUAAGUAAAGUUAAAAUGAAUACAGAGAGAUAUUUACCAUAUACCAAUAUUAAUAUUCAAAAUACCUGAUCACUUAAAGCUUCUAAGAGGUAACCCACAAAGACAUCUGCUGACUGAAUGGUGAGUGAGUAUUUAGCAAAAAACCAUCACUAACUACUGGCCUCUUAAUUAUAUUUUUGCUGUGUUCUGUUACAGCAAGCAUUAUUUGCUUCUACAAGCAUUGUUUAUUUUAACAAGUGUUCAUUGUGAAUUCAUCCUAUGAAUUAAUUCACAUGUUCCUGAGUGUCAGCUAGAGUUUCUUUGCAGUAUUCAACCCAUUUGUCUGCUGUGCCUCUCAGCAUCAUCACUUUGCUACUUAUGAUUGGCGAUACUCUUGCCCCUUUUAACCUUUCUCAACACCAAGAUAUAUAUCAGCAACUAUUCCUUUUGAAGAAUGAUUCCCUUAACAUUUUAGUUUUGUUUCCAGGAUUUCCACCCUUUCUCGUUCUAGUCCUGAGGUCAAAACAUGGUGCCAUACAAAACAAAGCAUGUUAUCUCAACUACAGUAAUUUGCUGACAGUUCAAGUGGAUUGAAAAUUGUAAAGGAAGUGUUUCUGAAUAUUUUGCGUCUUACUUUGAUGGAUGCAGCCUGUGAAGAAUGGAGUUCUAACUGCGUUAGUUUUCCUACAUGUAUUUAGUAAUGUCACAUAAUUGUCCUUAUUGCUGCAUAAUACCACGACAAUCAAGUGAUAACACACCUGCAGAUAUAAAAACAUAUUCCUUAAGAAUAUAUUUUGGAGUAACUUAAAAAUGAUAAAAAUGAACAAAUAUGUAGCAGUUUAUCAUAUAAUCUGUUUAUAUUCAUUUGUAUGUUUCAAUAAAUAUCAUUUAUUGCA